CUACUGACCAGGCAUGGGAGACACCAUGAUCAGGACGGUGGUUUUCCCAGGGUGAGGCUCGCCCAGUGCACUGCGGGGGUGCUGAUCCCUGUGAUUUCCCCAAAUGCAGGAAACUCGACUGCAUACUUUGUGGUAGUGGGGGCUGCGUUCGCGCUCUUCCGUU